CCUACGGGAGGCUGCAGUGAGAAAUAUUGGUCAAUGGACGAGAGUCUGAACCAGCCAAGUAGCGUGAAGGAUGACUGCCCUAUGGGUUGUAAACUUCUUUUAUAUGGGAAUAAAACGUUCCACGUGUGGGAUUUUGUAUGUACCAUAUGAAUAAGGAUCGGCUAACUCCGUGCCAGCAGCCGCGGUAAUACGGCGGAUCCGAGCGUUAUCCGGAUUUAUUGGGUUUAAAGGGAGCGUAGGUGGAUUGUUAAGUCAGUUGUGAAAGUUUGCGGCUCAACCGUAAAAGUGCAGUUGAAACUGGCAGUCUUGAGUACAGUGGAGGUAGGCGGAAUUCGGGGUGUAGCGGUGAAAUGCUUAGAUAUCACGAAGAACACCGAUUGCGAAGGCAGUUCACUGGACUGCAACUGACACUGAGGCUCGAAAGUGUGGGUAUCAAACAGGAUUAGAUACCCCAGUAGUC
rnacentral:rRNA from 1 species